rnacentral:rRNA from 1 species
CCUACGGGAGGCAGCAGUGGGGAAUAUUGCACAAUGGGGGAAACCCUGAUGCAGCGACGCCGCGUGAGUGAAGAAGUAAUUCGUUACGUAAAGCUCUAUCAGCAGGGAAGAAACACUGACCUUACGGUCAGCAGACGGUACCUGAGUAAGAAGCCCCGGCUAACUACGUGCCAGCAGCCGCGGUAAUACGUACGGGGCAAGCGUUAUCCGGAUUUACUGGGUGUAAAGGGAGCGUAGGCGGUGCGCCAAGUCUGGAGUGACAUGCCGCAGCUUAACUGCGGAACUGCUUUGGAAACUGGCGAACGAGAGUGCGGGAGGGGUAAGCGGAAUUCCUAGUGUAGCGGUGAAAUGCGUAGAUAUUAGGAGGAACACCGGUGGCGAAGGCGGCGUACUGGACCGUAACUGACGUUGAGGCUCGAACGCGUGGGGAGCAAACAGGAUUAGAUACCCGAGUAGUC